rnacentral:misc_RNA from 1 species
AAAUUGCUUUGCGAGCCAGCUGGAGCUAGAUAAGUGGAAUUUUGAGACCUUGAUCUCAGGAAUGAUGUAUCUGAAUUUGGUGAGGAAGCAAAUGGAGAGGGUCCCAGGUAAUUGAGAUUAAAUGCACUCUCUCUUUUCUUUCGCCUACGUGUAAACCAGACAGCAACAAUCACCAAGCUAAGGGCCAAAAACCCAGCAACAACACCAAUUGCCACCACACUUCCUGCCUUAUUUCCCCCACCAUUUCUGGCACUUGAAUCUGCAGUGAUAGCAGGUUUAGGGAUAGCAGUGGGCUUCUCUGUAGGAAGGCGAGUCACAGGCAAUGGAGGGGGAGCUCCAGCUGGAGAAGUAUUAUUUGGGGGAGCAGGAGGUGAGAUAGAAGGGGGUGGAGAUGUUAAGGGGUUAGGUGGAGGGGCGGAUGGCAGUGAGGCUGGAGGAGGCGCCAAUGCAGGAGGUGGAGGGGAGUUUUGUGGCGGAUUUGCAACAGGUGCAGGAGGUGGAGAAUCAGGGGGUGGUGAUUGAUUUUUCACUGGAGGUGGAGGAGAAGGUGAAACUGCUGGAGGGGGAGGAGGUGGGGAAGGAGGAGGAGAUUCUUUUGAUGGUGGGGGUGGAGAUGAAGCUGG